rnacentral:misc_RNA from 1 species
GGAAGUAAAAGUCGUAACAAGGUUUCCGUAGGUGAACCUGCGGAAGGAUCAUUACCGAGUGAGGGCCCUCUGGGUCCAACCUCCCACCCGUGUUUAUUUUACCUUGUUGCUUCGGCGGGCCCGCCUUAACUGGCCGCCGGGGGGCUCACGCCCCCGGGCCCGCGCCCGCCGAAGACACCCUCGAACUCUGUCUGAAGAUUGAAGUCUGAGUGAAAAUAUAAAUUAUUUAAAACUUUCAACAACGGAUCUCUUGGUUCCGGCAUCGAUGAAGAACGCAGCGAAAUGCGAUACGUAAUGUGAAUUGCAAAUUCAGUGAAUCAUCGAGUCUUUGAACGCACAUUGCGCCCCCUGGUAUUCCGGAGGGCAUGCCUGUCCGAGCGUCAUUGCUGCCCUCAAGCCCGGCUUGUGUGUUGGGCCCCGUCCUCCGAUCUCCGGGGGACGGGCCCGAAAGGCAGCGGCGGCACCGCGUCCGGUCCUCGAGCGUAUGGGGCUUUGUCACCCGCUCUGUAGGCCCGGCCGGCGCUUGCCGAUCAACCCAAAUUUUUAUCCAGGUUGACCUCGGAUCAGGUAGGGAUACCCGCUGAACUUAAGCAUAUCAAUAAGCGGAGGA